rnacentral:rRNA from 1 species
UACGUAGGGACCGAGCGUUGUCCGGAAUCAUUGGGCGUAAAGAGCGUGUAGGCGGCUAUUUAAGUCCUGCGUGAAAUCCUGCGGCUCAACCGCAGACGGUCGUGGGAAACUGGAUGGCUAGAGUGCGGGAGAGGAGAGUGGAAUUCCCGGUGUAGCGGUGAAAUGCGCAGAUAUCGGGAAGAACACCCGUGGCGAAGGCGGCUCUCUGGACCGGUACUGACGCUGAGGCGCGAAAGCGUGGGGAGCAAACGGG